CACGUAGGGCGCGAGCGUUGUCCGGAUUUACUGGGCGUAAAGGGCGCGUAGGCGGCGUAACAAGUCACUUGUGAAAUCUCCGGGCUUAACCCGGAGCGGCCAAGUGAUACUGUUGUGCUAGAGUGCGGAAGGGGCUACUGGAAUUCUCGGUGUAGAGGUGAAAUUCGUAGAUAUCGGGAGGAACACCGGUGGCGAAGGCGGCGAUCUGGGUCGAUACUGACGCUGAGGCGCGAAAGCGUGGGGAGCAAACAGG
rnacentral:rRNA from 1 species